rnacentral:lncRNA from 1 species
UUUAUAACUGUGGCUCAUGAACAAAAAUGUUAAGAAAUGCUGACACAGCAUAAGCGAGGGGCUACUUUUGUAAUAAUUGGUUUUAAAGCAGGUAUAAAAAUGUGUCAUGAAUUAGAAACUCAACAGCAGAUUUUGGAAUCACUUGCAGGCAUACAGCAACUAUAGAAGCUCCAUCAGUUUACAUGAUUCUCCAACACUCUGGAGGUGGCAGGAUGAAAUCUUUCUUCUCAUUACAAAGAUGAAGGAAAUGGAGACUUAGCAAGGCUGAGAGACUCCCGAGAGGUCCCCCCACUGAGAGGCCCCAGCACCAGGCCUGGGCCCGCAGGCGUCCCCCCAGACCCCAACCCGGAGGGUCCUGCUGCACCUGCCACCCAAGAAUGAGGCUUCACCUACAUCCUGCCAUCUCCAGGAGCUUCUGCAAUGAAAGCAACAGCACCCAGAGCAAGCGAGGACAGUCUGUGCUUCCAGUGCAGAUUUUCCAAAAAAGACCUCAGAGGCAUCCGAGGGAGAACCCUGCCAAUCCAGGAAUCACAGGGACCGGACCCAGAGAGAAGCCGCUGAGCGACCACAGCCCCUAUCCAAGACGACAGCUGCAAAGGAGGUGUAUUUCCCUGUUCUGGUUACACUGCCCUUUGGGGGACACUGUGGCUGUGUCCAGGGCCCCUCCCUCUCACAGACUCUGGGGACCAUCACCAGGUGGGCCUCGUCCAUCUUUUCCUUCACUCUGAACCCGAAUGCCCCCAUCCUGCCGGGGUUCUCCUCAUUCCAAACCUCCGACUGCCUUCCUGCCCUAGGGCCCUCAGAAAGUAACCACUUGCCAGCAGGAUCGGCACAUCCUCGCUGCCCAGAAACCCAGCGGUGGAGGCCAGAGACGCCCCAUGAGCUGCCCAGGGAGGCCAGAGGCGCCCCAUGAGCUGCCCAGGGAUGCUGCAACAGCAGUGAAUGGGCCAGAGGUGAGACCGAGAUGUCAAAAUCAAUAUGCGGGGGGCGUGAUUAAAAGACAAGCAUGGUUGGC